ensembl:rRNA 5S_rRNA 5S ribosomal RNA
GCUUACGGCCCACACCGGCCUGAGUACGCCUGAUCUCGUCCGAUCUCGGAAGCUAAGCAGGGUCGGGCCUGGUUAGUACUUGGAUGGGAGACCGCCUGGGAAUACCAGGUGCUGUAAGCU